AGAGUUUGAUUCUGGCUCAGGAUGAACGCUGGCGGCAUGCCUAAGACAUGCAAGUCGAACGAGGUGGCCCACAGAAUUUGAUAGAAGCUUUGAGAGCUUGCUCGAGAAGUGGAAAGAGAAGGACGUGGAAUUUCCACCUAGUGGCAAACGGGUGAGUAACACGUGGGUUACCUACCUCUUAGAUGGGGAUACCAAUUGGAAACGAUUGUUAAUACCGAAUGUGAUCUACGGAUUAAAGGAAGCCUUUAAAGCUUCGCUAAGAGAUGGGCCUGCGGUGCAUUAGAUAGUUGGUGGGGUAAGAGCCUACCAAGUCAACGAUGCAUAGCUGAACUGAGAGGUUGAUCGGCCACACUGGGACUGAGACACGGCCCAGACUCCUACGGGAGACAGCAGUUAGGAAUAUUCGUCAAUGGGGGAAACCCUGAACGAGCAAUGCCGCGUGAACGAUGACGGUCCUCUGGAUUGUAAAGUUCUGUUGUUUGGGAAGAACGGCUCUAAUAGGAAAUGAUUAGAGAUUGACUGUACCAUUCAAGAAAGCCACGGCUAACUACGUGCCAGCAGCCGCGGUAAUACGUAGGUGGCGAGCGUUAUCCGGAUUUAUUGGGCGUAAAGCGUCCGCAGCCGGUUUAUUAAGUAUAG
rnacentral:rRNA from 1 species